AUGGAUUAUGCCUUGAGCCUGUAUAGUAUGUAGCAGUGGAAAUGGUCUUCUAGAACGUGGUUGGUGCAACAAUUGAUCUAAGCCGGGCGCCCCCAGUACAUAGUUGUAUAUUCUGGCUGUAAGUGCUUCUGGUUGUGCUAUGUGGGACGCUGCCUCAGCAUGGCCUGAUGAGUGGUGCCAUGUCCGCACCCAGGAUCCGAACUGGUGAAACCAUGGGCCGCUGAAGUGGAGCAUGCGAACUUAACCAGUCUGCCACAGGGUCAGCCCCUAGGCAAUUUUUCUUCAUAAAUCAUAUGACAAUGACUAAGGGAAUUGGAGAUUCAGUAAAGAGAAUGAAGUCUGCCAUUUUGGUUGGGGUCCCAGGAGACACUCUGAGAUUCUGAGAUCUGCAUGUUGGCAGUUUGUUGGGGGUGGAGGGUUACUCUCCGGAACAAGAUGUGUGACAGGUAAGAGAAGUAGGAUUGGAUAGAGGGAGAAGUGGAACUGUGAUGCAGUUGGAACAGAGGCCUCAGUGACCCAUGGGAGCUCUGAAGCAAGGCAAGGGUGCCAAGCCUUUGUAUUCCAACAUCGACACAGGUGAUGCAAAGUUGAAUGCGGUACCUUCUUUACGUCAAGCUCAAUUUCCAGAGAAGAAUGUAGCUAUGAGCAGUCAGCAGCCAACACACUAGACAGAUGUGGG
rnacentral:lncRNA from 1 species